rnacentral:rRNA from 1 species
CAAUAGCGUAUAUUAAAGUUGUUGCGGUAAAAAAGCUCGUAGUUGGAUUUCUACCGAAGAUAGCCGGUCGGGUCUUCGACCUUGUAUCUGGUUUUAUCUUUGGUAUCCUCAUAGGGAACGUUUCUGCGCUUUAUUGCGUGGUGCGGUAUCUAUGACUUUUACUUUGAGGAAAUUAGAGUGUUCACGGCAGGCAAACGCCUUGAAUAUAUUAGCAUGGAAUAAUAACAUAGGAUCUUCGUCCUAUUUUGUUGGUUUCUAGGGCUAAGAUAAUGAUUAAUAGGGAUAAUUGGGGGCAUCUGUAUCAACGCGUCAGAGGUGGAAUUCUUGGAUUGCGUUGCGACAAACUACUGCGAAAGCAUUUGCCAAGGAUGUUUUCAUUGA